UUCAGAUGUUAUGGUUAUUUACUUUGUCUCUGUCUUUGAUGUUCACUUUUCAGAAUGCUCCAGAGAAGCAGCGCUGUCAUCGUGACUAGAAGAGUACACUCUUCAGUCCCCAUGAGAAGCAGGCAAAUCCUCUGUCAUCUAAACUACAAACUGGUAUCAUGUGUUUACCAUCUGAUUGUACAAGCUAUUCGAUACCAAGGCAGAAGUUUUAAAGGCACGCAGGCAGAAGAAUGGCUGGAUACAUGUGCCUGACCUGGCAGAAUUAUGAAGGAAAGGGAAAAGUUGUGCAGAGAAACUACAAAAUGUGGCUGUGAAGAGAUCUGUGGAAAGAAAGAGAUCUGCAGAGAAAAAAGAAAAUGUCGUUUAAAAACAUGACUAAUGUUACUGACAUUACUAAUAACAGAAAGGGCUUCAAAUCAUUUAAGCACUUCUCUAACAUGAAUUCUUCAUGAUUGCCUGUGAGCAGCUAUAGUGAAGGAUUCCAACAGCCAGCGAGCCAGCUUUCAACUGUGCCUCAGCUGGAAGAUGUUUUGAAAUCUGCCAACUUGCCUCCUUGGGGUAAGGUUUGGGAAUUUUGUGUUUUUGUUUUUAAAUAAGUUUCAGACCUUUGGCUUACUGUGGACUAACAGAGCUCCACUGAAGUCUAGCACAGCAUCAAAGGCAUUUAGAUAUGUACAGAUACAAAUAAAUAGCAGAAUUUUAAGCAGACAAACUUUCUGUCUUUGAAACAGAUCAGCCCUGACAGACACCGUCUCUGUUUUACUUGGUUUUGAAAGUAUGGAGCUAAACCUGCAACUUGCAUGUUACAAGGUUAACUGUAAGUGAUACGGCAUCACUGUUAUGGUGAUGAUUCGGAUUUAUCCCAGUUGACAAAUAUCAUGUCUGUUUGAAGAAUGUGAGAAGGAAGGUUCAUCCUGUUAUAAGCAUUUACAGAUGUAAGUAUAUCUUC